rnacentral:rRNA from 1 species
GUCCACGCCCUAAACUAUGGAUGCUAGCUGUGAGGAGUAUCGACCCUCUUCGUAGCGAAGCUAACGCGUUAAGCAUCCCGCCUGUGGAGUACGAGCGCAAGCUUAAACAUAAAGGAAUUGAUGGGGACCCGCACAAGCGGUGGAGCGUGUUGUUUAAUUCGAUGGUAAGCGAAGAACCUUACCCAGACUUGACUUCCUUGUCGUCGUUCUGUGAAAGCAGAAUUUCAUUUAGUUGGACAAGUGACAGGUGUUGCAUGGCCGUCGU